CACCGUUUGUUAAAUUUUCCAAAAUUUUCUUAGCUGAAACUCUUGGGCCAAGUUUAAACAAACUUGGGGAGAAUCAUCAUUGAGAUAUUUUGUUUUUAAAAAUGUAUCCGAUGAUCCCGCCCCCAUCCAAGAUGGCUGACAUGGCUUAAAAUUGAACAUAGAGAUAAAAUGCAAGAUUUUUCUAUAAUUUGAAACCAUAAAAAAAUAAAGUCUGGAGAGGGUGGAAAUGUUCAGAAUGUAGAGCUCUACCUAUUGGACGUAAAGGUUGAUGUAAGCAACUUUAGGUAACUUUAGCUAGCAAAAAUGAGUAAACACGUCCUGUAUAUUCAUCUAUAAAUGGCCCAUAUUUUACAAAAAUUGAAACCACCCAAAUUUAUGGCAAAAAAAUAAACUUCAUAAAAUAAAGCAUAAUUAUCAAAAACAACAACCAUAAUGAUAUUUCAUUUACUCAC
rnacentral:lncRNA from 1 species